rnacentral:lncRNA from 1 species
CUUCUUCUUCUUCUUCUUCGCUUCUUCUUCUUCCUCUUCGCUUCUUCUUCUGCAUCCAUGGCUAGGACGUCCCCACGAGGUGGUCGGUCGGGAGAGCCGACCGACGACACUCGGUCGACCCCGGAGGUGGAGGUUUCUUCACUUUCGGGGCCGAACGUCGAUCGGCUCCGGGAGCAAUACCGCAUCCCGGAGCAGUUCCGGCUGUUCGCCCCUGGCGCCGAUGGUCGGGUUAACAGCC